CCCUUAGAUGUUCUGGGCCGCACGCGCGCUACACUGAUGCAUUCAACGAGUUUCUUCCUGGUCCGAGAGGAAUGGGUAACCUUUUGAAAGUGCAUCGUGAUAGGGAUAGACUAUUGCAAUUAUUGGCCUUCAACGAGGAAUUCCUAGUAGACGUAGUUCAUCAGACUGCAUCGAUUACGUCCCUGCCCUUUGUACACACCGCCCGUCGCACCUACCGAUUGAAUGACUCGGUGAAAAAUUGGGACCGUGAGUCUGUUUGCUUCAUUGCGAGUGGAUUGAUGGGAACUUUUUUAAACCUCGCCAUUUAGAGGAAGGUGAAGUCGUAACA
rnacentral:rRNA from 1 species